rnacentral:rRNA from 1 species
GUAGUUGACUCCGUGGCUCGAGGACGACGCUGGCGGCGUGCUUAACACAUGCAAGUCGAGCGGAAAGGCUCCUUCGGGGGUACUCGAGCGGCGAACGGGUGAGUAACACGUGAGUAAUCUGCCCUGGACUCUGGGAUAGCCACCGGAAACGGUGAUUAAUACCGGAUAGGACCACUUCACGCAUGUGAUGGUGGUGGAAAGUUUUUUCGGUCCAGGAUGUGCUCGCGGCCUAUCAGCUUGUUGGUGAGGUAAUGGCUCACCAAGGCUUUGACGGGUAACCGGCCUGAGAGGGUGACCGGUCACACUGGGACUGAGACACGGCCCAGACUCCUACGGGAGGCAGCAGUGGGGAAUAUUGGACAAUGGGCGGAAGCCUGAUCCAGCAACGCCGCGUGAGGGAUGACGGCCUUCGGGUUGUAAACCUCUUUCAGUACCGACGAAGCGAAAGUGACGGUAGGUACAGAAGAAGGACCGGCCAACUACGUA